rnacentral:rRNA from 1 species
AGAGUUUGAUCCUGGCUCAGGACGAACGCUGGCGGCGCGCCUAACACAUGCAAGUCGAACGGAGCUGAGAGGAGCUUGCUUUUCUUAGCUUAGUGGCGAACGGGUGAGUAACGCGUGAGUAACCUGCCCUGAAGUGGGGGACAACAGUUGGAAACGACUGCUAAUACCGCAUAAGCCCACGAUCCGGCAUCGGAUUGAGGGAAAAGGAUUUAUUCGCUUCAGGAUGGACUCGCGUCCAAUUAGCUAGUUGGUGAGGUAACGGCCCACCAAGGCGACGAUUGGUAGCCGGACUGAGAGGUUGAACGGCCACAUUGGGACUGAGACACGGCCCAGACUCCUACGGGAGGCAGCAGUGGGGGAUAUUGCACAAUGGGGGAAACCCUGAUGCAGCGACGCCGCGUGGAGGAAGAAGGUUUUCGGAUUGUAAACUCCUGUCGUUAGGGACGAUAAUGACGGUACCUAACAAGAAAGCACCGGCUAACUACGUGCCAGCAGCCGCGGUAAAACGUAGGGUGCAAGCGUUGUCCGGAAUUACUGGGUGUAAAGGGAGCGCAGGCGGACCGGCAAGUUGGAAGUGAAAACUAUGGGCUCAACCCAUAAAUUGCUUUCAAAACUGCUGGCCUUGAGUAGUGCAGAGGUAGGUGGAAUUCCCGGUGUAGCGGUGGAAUGCGUAGAUAUCGGGAGGAACACCAGUGGCGAAGGCGACCUACUGGGCACCAACUGACGCUGAGGCUCGAAAGCAUGGGUAGCAAACAGGAUUAGAUACCCUGGUAGUCCAUGCCGUAAACGAUGAUUACUAGGUGUUGGAGGAUUGACCCCUUCAGUGCCGCAGUUAACACAAUAAGUAAUCCACCUGGGGAGUACGACCGCAAGGUUGAAACUCAAAGGAAUUGACGGGGGCCCGCACAAGCAGUGGAGUAUGUGGUUUAAUUCGAAGCAACGCGAAGAACCUUACCAGGUCUUGACAUCCGAUGCAUAGUGCAGAGAUGCAUGAAGUCCUUCGGGACAUCGAGACAGGUGGUGCAUGGUUGUCGUCAGCUCGUGUUGUGAGAUGUUGGGUUAAGACCCGCAACGAGCGCAACCCUUAUUGCCAGUUACUACGAAAGAGGACUCUGGCGAGACUGCCGUUGACAAAACGGAGGAAGGUGGGGAUGACGUCAAAUCAUCUUGCCCCUUACGGCCUGGGCUACACACGUGCUACAAUGGCGUAAACAAAGGGAAGCGAGAGGGUGACCUGGAGCGAAUCCCAAAAAUAACGUCCCAGUUCGGACUGUAGUCUGCAACCCGACUACACGAAGCUGGAAUCGCUAGUAAUCGCGAAUCAGCAUGUCGCGGUGAAUACGUUCCCGGGUCUUGUACACACCGCCCGUCACACCAUGGGAGUUGGAAAUGCCCGAAGUCAGUGACCUAACCGCAAGGGAGGAGCUGCCGAAGGUGGAGCCGAUGACUGGGGUGAAGUCGUAACAAGGUA